AAUCUCCUCUUAAUAAUAGGUGAAAUAAAAAACAGCCAUUUGCGCCAAAGCACAGGAAGAAAUGGACGCUUCUUCUUCUUCUUCUUCUUCAAAGCAACAGCACCAGCAGAAAUCACGCAGUUUACUCCUACUCUCUUCCCCAUUUAUUCACACCCCAUUCCCUCCCCAAUUAGUCACGCAGUCCUCUCACUCUAAACCCAACCUCCAAUCCAAUGUAAACAUUGUUCGUCAUCUCCAUAGCUCUAUCGUAUCCACUGCUGAGAAUUGCCUCACAUUCUUAGACACAUUCGCUUCCCCAAACCCACUUCUCGACAAAAUCUUCCAUUUCUUCUCCUCCCAUUUCCACAAUUUCUCCCAGUUAAAGGAAAGGUGAUAUCAAUGGAAGCUAAAGGAAAGGUGAUAUCAAUGGAAUCAGGACAAAAGGUGAUAUAAGUGGAAGCUGAACGAAAGGUUAUAUCAGUGGAACGGGAACAAAAGGUGAUUUCCAGUUCUUGAUGGUGUCCUCUUCAUUUUACCGAGGACUGAGGUCAGUUGCAGCAGGUUUUUUUGCUUCCUCUACUUUGGGGUUUCUUUUGGGAUUUCUGGUGGGUAGCUUUGUAUUAUGCCUUUGGCUUUGCUUGUCCAUUUUGGAAUAAACAACUUAACUUCAAUAAAAGUCAUAUAUUGCCUCCAUAUAACUUUGGUGGAACAAUUUGAUUGCUUUUUUAAUCUGUUUACCUAGCGAAUGAAAAAAGAAGAAGGUGGCGGGCAGGCAUUUUAAAUUUGAUUAAUAGUCAAAAUUAACAUUAGUUUAAAUUUGGUGAUUACCUUUUCAAAGGUUAUGGUAAGGGUUUCAGCUUUUCCUCCCUUCUAAUUGUUCACUGGUAGAGACUGGUUUGGUUUAAGCCUUCUAUCCCUUGCCAUUAUUUCAUUCUAUCAGCCUUGUGAAACCCCAUCUCUCACACAUACACAUGAAUAUAUUCGAUAAAAUUUAAUUAAAGGUUGACAAUCAAUUUAUCUUCAUGUAUUUAUAAAAUUUUGCACAAAGUUACACACAUAACCCAAACACAGUUAAAAGCA